rnacentral:rRNA from 1 species
AGAUUGAACGCUAGCGGGAUGCUUUACACAUGCAAGUCGAACGGCAGCGCGGACUUCGGUCUGGCGGCGAGUGGCGAACGGGUGAGUAAUAUAUCGGAACGUGCCCAGUAGCGGGGGAUAACUACGCGAAAGCGUGGCUAAUACCGCAUACGCCCUACGGGGGAAAGGGGGGGAUCGCAAGACCUCUCACUAUUGGAGCGGCCGAUAUCAGAUUAGCUAGUUGGUGAGGUAAGGCUCACC